rnacentral:lncRNA from 1 species
GUAUAUUUGAAAUCGCCCAUUUUUUUUUUUUAAUAGCCUUCACUUUCUUCUUUGCUACUAGAAUUUUAAUGAUAGUUCCAUCUAACUCACAUAAGGUAUAUGUAGCAUUAUCAUAAACUGUAACCACCAUAUAUAGUCCAAACUAUUUUUUUACAAACUUCUUUAUAAUACUAUGCUGAUGUUCAAGGCUACUAUCAUAAAUUAGAACCCAAUCUCCAAUCUCUAUAAAUUUAGGCCUUAACCUAUAAGUCUUGUCAAACCUUUCUUUAUUUUUUAAUCUUGCUUCCUUUAACCUC